UACAGAGGGGGCAAGCGUUGUUCGGAAUUACUGGGCGUAAAGGGCGCGUAGGCGGCCUGCUAAGUCGAACGUGAAAUCCCUGGGCUCAACCCCAGGAACUGCGUCCGAUACUGGUUGGCUUGAAUCCGGGAGAGGGAUGUGGAAUUCCAGGGUGUAGCGGUGAAAGUGCGUAGAGUAUCUGGAGGAGCACCGGUGGCGAAGGCGACAUCCUGGACCGGUAUGGACGCUGAGGCGCGAAAGCCAGGGGA
rnacentral:rRNA from 1 species